GUGCUCACUUUGGCAGCACAUAUACUAAGAUUGGAGCGAUACAGAGAAGAUUAGCUAUGGCCCCUGAGCAAGGAUGCCACGCAAAUUCAUGAAGCGUUCCAUAUUUUU
ensembl:snRNA U6 U6 spliceosomal RNA